CGGGAAACCGGAGCUAAUACCGGAUAACAUUUGGAACCGCAUGGUUCUAAAGUGAAAGAUGGUUUUGCUAUCACUUAUAGAUGGACCCGCGCCGUAUUAGCUAGUUGGUAAGGUAACGGCUUACCAAGGCGACGAUACGUAGCCGACCUGAGAGGGUGAUCGGCCACACUGGAACUGAGACACGGUCCAGACUCCUACGGGAGGCAGCAGUAGGGAAUCUUCCGCAAUGGGCGAAAGCCUGACGGAGCAACGCCGCGUGAGUGAUGAAGGGUUUCGGCUCGUAAAACUCUGUUAUUAGGGAAGAACAAACGUGUAAGUAACUGUGCACGUCUUGACGGUACCUAAUCAGAAAGCCACGGCUAACUACGUGCCAGCAGCCGCGGUAAUACGUAGGUGGCAAGCGUUAUCCGGAAUUAUUGGGCGUAAAGCGCGCGUAGGCGGUUUCUUAAGUCUGAUGUGAAAGCCCACGGCUCAACCGUGGAGGGUCAUUGGAAACUGGGAAACUUGAGUGCAGAAGAGGAAAGUGGAAUUCCAUGUGUAGCGGUGAAAUGCGCAGAGAUAUGGAGGAACACCAGUGGCGAA
rnacentral:rRNA from 1 species